rnacentral:lncRNA from 10 species
ACAGUGCCACCAUCAUAGCUCAUUGGAGCCUCUAACUCCUGGGCUCAAGCUGUCCUCCCGCCUCUGAGUAGCUGGAAUUUCGUAGUGCACCAAUACACCCAGGUGCAUAACCAGAAUGUAACCAAAAAGGACUAAUUGAAGUAUAUUCUACACAGUAAAUGACAUGUACUCUGCAAAAAUGUCAAGGUCAUGAAGGCUGAAGAAUGGUUCCAAAUUGAAGGAGACUGAAGAAAGACAUUACUAAAUCCGAUGAAUGAUUCUGAAUUGUAUCUGGGUCAGCUAGUUGCUUGGCUGCUCUAAUAAGGAAGGCUCCACUGGUCUUGGUUCCAAGUUGUAGGUUGAGUCUGGUACCACAUGUUCACAUUCUCAGCAGCUAACUGAAGCACAUUUUUCCACAGUCAAAAUUCAAGACAAGUUCAACUGCACAAGGAUAUUUCAAGUUUCUGCUCACUUCACAUCUAAAGUAUCUCAUUGGCUAAAGCAAGUCACAAGAACAACGCCAAUGUCAAGGGGUUCAUAUGGAUGCAUAAUACUGUCACCACAGGGCAGUGAAGAAUUGAGAUCAAUAAUUCAAGCUACCACACUAGCCAAGUGCCUUACACGUUCCUUGGCUCACUACAUGGUAUAACACACAGUGGCAAAUUCCCAUCUCAAGUGACAAUUAGUGCCAACCACAUUGCUGAACCCAGGGACAAUGCUGAUACUGAAUGAUCUACUACUGUAAAAUCUUUUUACUCUGUUGAUGAAGAGGUUGCCAUGCCAAUGUUCCAUAACUAUGUUGGUUCUAGGGAAACAUAGCUUUUUGGAAAUUUACAUUUACCUAUUAGAAAGUCUGCAAACAUCUUAUAGCAGAAGUUCCAAUUAUAUGGUCUGGAAAAGUAAUUACAGAUACGACCAAAAAAGAAACACCAACAACAUUGUGAACAAGGGGGUUUAGUAAGCAUGAAAUAUGAGGGUGACAAAGUGAAAAAUUCCCAAAUUUCCUCAAAAGUGUAAGAAAUAAAUAAUUCUGUCAUUUCCAUGACAGUUAAAAAGAAUAAAAAAUGAAGUAUUGUUUUUAAAAAUAAAGAAAAAUAAAACAGUGAAAAAAAAUAAGCUAGCUUUAGAGUCACAAUGCCCGGAUUUAGGUACUGGCUCCAACAUGUAGAAGGCCUGUUAACUGAUAUAAAUUAUCUCACCUAUUCAAUUCUUAACAUCCUAUUCUCUAAAUCCAGACAAUAGGAAGAAUAUAGUUCAUGGAACUGUUUGAGAAUUAAAAGAAGUAAUACAUAUAAUUCCCAUAGAGUGGUGGCUGGUUGGCCCUAUUUAAAAAGCGUUUGGAACUUGUCACUACAUUGAAAUUAUUAUUUAAUAAUUAUUUAUUAUCAAUUUUGAGUACAGUAAUGAAAUGUCA